AAUCUUAACGAUGGAUGUCUUGGUUCCUAUAGCGAUGAAGGCCGCAGCAAAGUGCGAUAUGCAAUGAAAAAUGCAAUUACUGUGAAUCAUCAGAAUGCUGAAUGUAAACUAUACCAUAUUUACCCUUAUGGGAAAAUUAACGUGGUAUUCCUACAGAAAAUAAAACAAUACUUUGUGCUUCUCUGGUUUUUUUUUUGUGAUAUGUUAUAUUUUAAUCAUAUAUAUAUAUUAUCAUAGAAGAAAAAGAGAAUUUGGAUUAUUUCAUAAUUCUAAUACUAAAAAAAAUUAAUUUCUUUAGUUAAAAUUUCUCACUGAAUAAAUAAGUUUUUACUUUGAUUGGUUCUAGAGGAGAGAAAGUUUAUAUGUAAUUUAUUAGAAAUAAUAUUUAUAUGUAUAUAUUUUUUUUUUUUACAAAGUAUUUGAUUUGAUGUUAGGAAGGCAAAUCCGCCGAAUUUAAGCAUAUAAUUAAGCGGAAGAAAAGAAAAUAACAAUGAUUUCUUUAGUAACGGCGAGUGAACAAGAAAAAGCUCAAGGAGAUAAUUCUAUAUCGUAGUUGUAAAAAGACUAUGUGUAUAGAAAUUGUUCUGUUAUAAGGAAGAAGUAAUCUGAGAAUAUAUGGGAUUUAUAUAUAUAUUUAGUUAUCGAAAUAAGUAGGAAUACUUUCCCAUAGAGGGUGAAAGGCCCGUAGUUAAUAAAUAUAUAAAGUUCUUUUUUUUUGGAUAAUUUUUUUUUUAAAGAGUAGUGCUCUUUGAGAUUGGAGUACAAAGAUGUGUGAUACAUUUCACAUAAGGCUAAAUAUAUAUAGGAGACCGAUAGCAAACAAGUACCGUGAGGGAAAGAUGAAAUAGUACUCAGGAAUGAGCAGUUAAAUAGUACCUGAAAUCGUUAAGGUGGAACGGAUUAAGAAAGGAAAAUGUAAGAAGAUAGUAAAUAUUACUCGGCGAGUUUUAUUAAGAUACGAUUUUUUUAUAAAAAGAAACAUGAGUGAACGAGAAUAAAUUAUAAUAUAAUUAUAUUAGAUAGGUAUAGAAUAGAUACACAGGACUAAGGGGGGAGGAGUAGUAAGAAAAAGGGUGCAGUGUAAAAGGGUUAUGCUUGUAUGUUUGAGUAUUCACUGCUUCUUCUUUUUUUUUUCUGUAAUUUUAUAUCUAUUUAAUUAAAGUAUCCUUAGCUAAUAAUAAUUUAUGAAGGAAGAACUUAAUUUAUAUGAGUUUUAAAAGGCAUGAUUAUAUUGUAUAUUAUAUGAUAUAUAUAUAAUUAUGUUUUAACCGAAAUGCGUAUAAUUAUUCUGUUUACUGAGGAAAGAGGUAAACAAUAGUGUGAACUAAGAAUGGGAUAUUUCUUUUUUCUGAUUGUAAGUUGUUUUUAAAUAGUACUUUUUUAACCCACUCGUCUUGAAACACGGACCAAGGAGUCUAACAAAUGUGCGAGCGUAUGUGAUAUGAAUAAAAACAUAUAUAAAUUUUUAGUUACGCGUAAUUAAUGUGAAUUUUUUGUGGAUGCGCCGGACAAUAGUGCAUUUGGUUUCUGGCUUGCAAACAAUACCGAUAAGCAAUAAGAUAAUUAAGUUUAUUUGAGUAUGAGUACAUUUGUUAGGACCCGAGAGGCUUUGAACUAAGCGUGAUGAGAUUGAAGUCAGACGAAAGUCUGAUGGAGGAUCGAGUUGAUACUGACGUGCAAAUCGUUCAUUACAAUCACAGCUUAGGGCCGCAAGCCUAUCGGAAAGCCUAUUAGCCUGGUUAUUUUCGAAAGAUCUCUCAGGAUCGCUGGAAGUUGAAGUUGAUUAUAAAUUUUAUAAGGUAGAGACAAUGAUUAGAGGGUUUAGGGGAUUAAAUAAUUUCCUUAACCUAUUCUCAAACUCUCCAAUAUGUAAAGAGGGGUGCGAUAUCUGAAAAGUAUUUCACUUUGGCGUAAAUAAGAUAACUCCAAGUGGGCCAUUUUUUGGUAAGCAGAACUGGCGAUGAGGGAUGCUCCUAACGCCUGGAUAAGGUGCCUAAAUAUUCGCUCAUGAGAUCCCCAUAAAAGGUGUUGGUUCAUAAUGACAGUAGGACGAUGGUCAUGGAAGUCGAAAUUCGCUUAGGAGUGUGUAACAACUCACCUACCGAAUGAACUAGCCCUGAAAAUGGAUGGCGCUAAAGCGAAUUACCGAUACCGGGCCAUAAGAAGGUAGAAAUUAUAAAUGUUAAUUUAGCUCAGAUCUUUUUAUGAGUAGAAAAUCGUGGGGUUUGUGUUGAAGCGAAAUACGUGAGUUUUCGUGGAACAUCUCCCUAGUGCAGAUCUUGGUGGAAGUAGCAACUAUUCAAAUGAGAACUUUGAAGACUGAAGUGGAGAAGGGUUUCUUGUCAACUAUGUUUGUACAAGAGUUAGCCACUCCUAAGGGAUAGCUGAAAAGUGUUUAAAAGAAGUAAGAUAUUAUAUGGAAAUAUAUAAUUAGAUCUUCGUCUCAAAAGGGAAACAGGUUAAUAUUCCUGUGCCAAAUAGAAGUAAGGGUGUGAAUAAA
rnacentral:rRNA from 1 species